CUCGGCCAGGCCUGAGAGGCCGGGAGGGUUUGACCCUGGGGCUGCAUGGACAGCUUAGCGCUCGGCCGCUGGCGACGGCGGAGGGCGGAGGAUCUGCAGGUUCCGGGGGACGUGCCUAGAGGCUCUGUACUCUGCACGUAACCACCAGCAAAGUUUUGGAAAACACAGCAGCCAGGACCCAUCUCUGUAGUGACUUUGCAGGUGAUUCUCAGGCAGGUCCAGAGUGAAGCACCUCUGCUGUGAUACACGUUUUGAGCGCCUGCUGUGUCUCAAGCCCUGUCCUAGGCACUGGAGAUGAGAUGAAGAAACGAUGAGUAGAGGCCUUGCUUACGUUUGUCCUGCAGCUCAUGAUGAGGCUUACUCUGCAACUCCAGUGCUCGGCUUUUUACACAACAGAGUCUCUGUUGCCCAGGCUGGAGUACAGUCACACGAUCUUGGCUUACUGCAACCUCUGCCUCUCAGGUUCGAGUGAUUCUUCUGCCUCAGCCUCCCAAGUUGCUGGGAUUACAGAUUUUAUAGCUCAUCUGCUGAGUAAGAUCUUUGCCGUGAGAACCUAGUAAAUAACCAGCUGAUGAUGCAGCCCCUGACAGAAGCCCUCAUUUUGCCUUCUGUGGUCACUCUUCUCCUUCUAAAUAAUUAUCACCCAUUCCUCAAGAAGCAAGGGACAUUUUAGCCAUACCAAGAAUCAUUAGAAGAUGCAAGCUGGAAAAAAGAAGGUCCCAGUUUUGGUUUUGAACCCUUCAUGUUGCAGCAAAUGUGAAUCUCCUACAGAUGGGUUUGGGGACUUACCUGUUCAAAUAGCAGCCCAGUGUCCUCUGUGGGUGGGGGGAGGUUUGUCUGUCCUUUCAUUCUAGUAAAUCCACCAUCCUCUGCACGAGAGGCAGGAGAAUCCACAUCACUUCAAAAGAGCCCCCAAAUCCUUACUACGUACUACAGCCUCCUUUCGAAUGUUCCUGGUUGAGAGGGAGAUCAGUUGCAUUAUUUACAAGUCAAAAAAUUUUUUAUCAAACUUCCUAUGAGCUUGGGCACUCAUGGCCUAUGGAGGCCCACCCAGACGCAGCCCCGCCAUGAUGCUUUUUCAUUGUUUUGUGGAUGUACCCAGGGCUAUUUACACACUCUUUCAUUAAAAGGCUUAUUUUUAUAUUUAAAAUGUUCUAAUCUUGGAGUGAAUUUUACUAAAUGCUAGUGUCCAAUCUGUUCCCCAACUGAAGUUAUCAGAGACAGAUCCCUUUUAUAUUCAAGUGGAAAUUACUCAUUUUCUCUUGGGUUUUCAAUGUAUCGUCUGACUGUGAGGCUGGCAUUAUUUUCUCUGGGUUUGAAAGCUUCCUGAGAUGUCCUGUUUGUAAGCUCCUGUCCGCAUCACGUUAUCUGCAGGGAAUGUGCUCCCUCCAGGGAGUGUCCUCGGCACUGAUGUGGGAAGAGCCCCCUCUAUAAGUCAUCAUGGCAUUCGGUCAUGGGAGAGUUCCAUACGGGAAAGAUGGAGCAGAGGAAGACAAGGUGUUGAAACCAGUACAGCACCACCUGGGAUACGGAUGAUCCAGAAUUAUAGGACACGUCUUCAUUAAGCCUGGGUAAGAUCCCAGAGCUAUGACUCGAUCAAAAAAUGCCAGUUCGUGCCAAACAACCAAAGCCGGGAGAGAGGGAGAAGGUAUUGGCAUUUGCGGCCUUACGAAAGAUUUUUAUGAAGAGCUUUAGUUUGUUCUUCUCUUUUCCAAAAUGAGAUACACAUCUAAUUUUUACGGGAAAAAAAGAAAACUCUUAGAUUGACAGCAUGUUCUUUUUUGUGUGUAAACUCCUCCUUCUCACCCUCGUUCAUGGAGAGAGCAGGUGUCCACGCGGUGUCAGGUGGGUGUUUUGUAGCUGACGUGGCACGCGUCCCUCCAGCUGUUCAUACGAAGCUGGCUUUUGUAGAGAACAGUCUCUGGGCAUCCUCCUGCCCCAAGGAAAAUGCCCCCGCUUCAGAGUCAGACAGACGUGAGUUCCCAUCUCAUCUCCACCGACCAUCUCCACCUGACCUUGAUGAGUCCUUAGACUUCUUGGAGCCUCCAGCUCCCAUCUGUGUGAUGGGGAGGUCGCCCUUGGGGUUUGCCCUUAGCCCACAGUGUGACUCCUCGGUGUCAGUGCCUUCCGUCCUGGUGCACAGCCCCUCCACCCCAAAGCAGGCCUUCUGUUCUGGAAAAGCAAAGCUCACAAAACAUGAUGACCCAGGUGACAAGGAUGAAAGGGAUGGGGUGUAACUGGCCAGAAUGUGGGUGUAUUAGGGUUCUCUAGAGGGACGGAAUAGGAUAGGUGUAUAUGUGAAGGGGAGCUUAUUAAGGAGUAUUGACUUGCACGAUCACAAGGUGAGGUCCCACAAUAGGCCGUCUGCAAGCUGAGGAGCAAGGAAGGCAGCCUGAGUCCCAAAACCUCAAAAGUAGAGAAGUCGACAGUGCAUCCUUCAGUCUGUGGCUGAAGGCCCAACAGCCCUUGCAAACCACUGGUGUAAGUCCAAGAGUCCAAAAGCUGAAGAACUUGGAGUUCGAUGUUCAAGGGCAGGAAGCAUCCAGCACGGGAGAAAGAGGAAGCCUGGAAGACUCAGCCAGUCUAGUCUUUCCACAUUCUCCUGCCUGCAUUAUUCUGGCCAAGCUGGCAGCUGAUUAGAUGGUAUCCACCCAGAUUGAGGGUGAGUCCGCCUCUCCCAGUCCACUGACUCAACUGUGAAUCUCCUUUGGCAACACCCUCACAGACACACCCAGGAUCAAUACUUGGCAUCCUUCAAUCAAGUUGACACUUGAUAUUAACCACCACAGUGGAGAACCAGCAGCUUUAUCCAGGUGCUGGAUUUUCCAGACUGUGAAGGGAAUGGAGGAGCUUGUGACUGGGUACCUAAAAAGGGGGAUGGCAACAUUUUCUUGGUGUUUUCAGCCAUUUUAGUACAGGCCACGAAAUAGAAGGCUCAGAAAUUCCAGAUUUUCCUAGGUGUGGUCCACACCUCAGUCCCAUCCUACUCUGGCCUCGUGUGGACAGAGGUCCUGCCCGUGGCCUUGUUGUCCCCUGGCAGCCGCCCUCCACCCACCCCCUGACUUGCUGUCACAGCUGCCCUGGCAUCCAUCCUGGCCUUCAGCCCCACCUCCCUGGCUCCAGAGUCAUCCCUGGCCACAGGACGGUCUCUGCUCUCCAGCCCAACCCGCCUCCUGCUGGGAUUACCUGGAGGAGCUCGCCCCGUGCAGAACUGUUUCUCCCUGGCAAAUUAAUUUGUCAGCACCACAGGUACUAAAACAGAUUAGCUAAUAGGCAAAACCUGCAUAGAUUUCACUAAACUGGGUCUUGAUGCACCCAUGACGAGCGUGAAAUGGGAUUAUCCCUUUAAAGUGCUUCAUCUUUGUAUUCUUGUCAAAAGAGGAGGAAAAAGACGUUUUCUUACACCCUGAGGAAACAGACUGGGCAUUGAUGUGUGUGUAUUUCCAUUAGAUAAAUUUUCAAUUUGUUCUUUAA